UACAGAGGGGGCAAGCGUUGUUCGGAAUUAUUGGGCGUAAAGGGCGCGUAGGCGGUGCGGUAAGUCUUUUGUGAAAUCUCUGGGCUCAACCCAGAGUCUGCUUCCGAAACUGCUGUGCUUGAGUGUGGGAGAGGCGCGUGGAAUUGCAGGUGUAGCGGUGAAAUGCGUAGAUAUCUGCAGGAACACCCGUGGCGAAAGCGGCGCGCUGGACCACUACUGACGCUGAGGAACGAAAGCUAGGGGAGCAAACAGG
rnacentral:rRNA from 1 species